ensembl:snoRNA LOC120102031 small nucleolar RNA SNORA48
GUCCCCUGGCGAAGGGCAGAGAGACACUUUGUUGGUGACGCUGUUCUUAUAUCAGUCAGGGGCAGAGCAGUCUUCUGCUCAACCUAGCUUGACACCUGGCUUGGUGGCCAAAGCCAUCUUAUGCCUACGACUCAUAA